UGGGGGAUAUUGCACAAUGGGGGAAACCCUGAUGCAGCGACGCCGCGUGUAGGAAGACGGUCCUCUGGAUUGUAAACUACUGUCUUCGGGGACGAUAAUGACGGUACCCGAGGAGGAAGCUCCGGCUAACUACGUGCCAGCAGCCGCGGUAAUACGUAGGGAGCGAGCGUUGUCCGGAAUUACUGGGUGUAAAGGGAGCGUAGGCGGGAAGGUAAGUUGGGUGUGAAAGGCAGGGGCUCAACCUCUGGACUGCACUUGAUACUGCUUGACUUGAGUAAUGGAGGGGUAACUGGAAUUCUCGGUGUAGCAGUGAAAUGCGUAGAUAUCGAGAGGAACACUCGUGGCGAAGGCGAGUUACUGGACAUUUACUGACGCUGAGGUACGAAGGCUAGGGGAGCGAAAG
rnacentral:rRNA from 1 species